rnacentral:rRNA from 1 species
AAUGAACGCUGGCGGCAGGCCUAACACAUGCAAGUCGAACGAGUGGCGGACGGGUGAGUCAUGUCUGGGAAACUGCCCGAUGGAGGGGGAUAAUUACUGGAACCGGUAGCUAAUACCGCAUACCAUCGGAUGAGCCCAGGUGGGAUUAGCUAGUAGGUGGGGUAACGGCUGACCUAGGCGACGAUCCCUAGCUGGUCUGAGAGGAUGACCUGCCACCCUGGAACUGAGACACGGUCCAGACCCCUACGGGAGGCAGCAGUGGGGAAUAUUGCACAAUGGGCGAAAGCCUGAUGCAGCCAUGCCGCGUGUAUGAAGAAGGCCUUCGGGUUGUAAAGUACUUUCAGCGAGGAGGCGUUACUCGCAGAGGAAGCAACGGCUAACUCCGUGCCAGCAGCCGCGGUAAUAC